UAGGGAAUCUUCCGCAAUGGGCGAAAGCCUGACGGAGCAACGCCGCGUGAGUGAUGAAGGUCUUCGGAUCGUAAAACUCUGUUAUUAGGGAAGAACAAAUGUGUAAGUAACUAUGCACGUCUUGACGGUACCUAAUCAGAAAGCCACGGCUAACUACGUGCCAGCAGCCGCGGUAAUACGUAGGUGGCAAGCGUCAUCCGGAAUUAUUGGGCGUAAAGCGCGCGUAGGCGGUUUUUUAAGUCUGAUGUGAAAGCCCACGGCUCAACCGUGGAGGGUCAUUGGAAACUGGAAAACUUGAGUGCAGAAGAGGAAAGUGGAAUUCCAUGUGUAGCGGUGAAAUGCGCAGAGAUAUGGAGGAACACCAGUGGCGAAGGCGACUUUCUGGUCUGUAACUGACGCUGAUGUGCGAAAGCGUGGGGAUCAAACAGG
rnacentral:rRNA from 1 species